CAUAAGCCAUAGAUUUGUAAGAGAAAAAUCACAGUUCCAGGUGCAGAUACUACUCCAUGGCUUAUUUGCAGAGAAGUCCUAAAUAUUCCCGCCACACUGCACAGCAUCUUCAUUGCUCUUCGUUACCCAGCAGAGGUUCAAGGUCAGUCUCUGUGGCUGAAGACACCGCAUCCUUGGUUGUAGCACAUGGAGAGAUCAAGUUUGAACUAAGCUAGAUAUUUUCUGCAGGUUUGCUUUCAUAGUGCUGCCAUGUGCUCGGCAGUCUACCGGGAGUUAAAAGACACGGUCAAUGUUACCCUACUGUGAACCCUACACGCUAGAAUACCAAUGUGCAAUGCAAAAUAUCCCUGACGCUGGAAUACUGGCAUGUCUGUUUAGACAGCAACAAACUGCCUUCUGAUUGGAUUUGGGACCCAGUCCAUGGGAGGAGAUACAAACCUGAAUCUGUAAACCUGGUUACAACCAAUGGCCUGAGAAAUCCUUAGCCCAGGGUGUGUAUGUGUAGCGGGGAGGAUUACGAUUGUUCUGAUAAAUGGAAGUGCUGCCAAACUGCCUUCUAAAUAUUUAUGUUUAUACAUAUAGACUAGUGACACUCUGAGCCUAGGACAGAGAGCCUCCUUUAUGCGCUUGGCAACAGGAAAUCCAUACAGAGACUCAUUUCUGGUAAAAGCCUGGAGAAAAAGUGAGUGUUGAGACCCGAGACCCAAGUCAGAUUUGCAAGACUUAGGAGACAUCAUGAAAGAAUAGAAGAGGCAGGAGAGAGAAAGAAUUCUGUGAAAUGUUUCCAUGGAUACAGAAUUGGCUGUUGCCAUCAUGAGCAUGGAAGUCAUGGAUACUUGAAUAAGAUGUGUGCUAGCCUGGAACCUUCAGAAUUCCAUCAUAGAUAGGACAAAAUCACAGAAGUGAUCUCCUACCUUUUAGAAAAAUAGCAUUAGCAGUAAAUGGCUGCCGAGGGGAGUUAACGCCAUUCUCUUCAAAGCUGUAACCACUGCUGCAACCUACCAUCCCCUCGACAGAAUCACUGUGAAGCCAGCAAGAAUUGUCAGAACCAGUUUCUUUCGUUAGAGACGUGGAAAGUAGUCCUUGGUUUAUAGCAAGCCUGCAAGUGCUGAAUCAAGAAUAAGGCAGGCCAGGCUUGGAAGUGCUUGCCUGAAAUCCCAUCGCUCAACAAGGAUCCAUCUGUCCUCCCUCCACCUGGCUGAUCCUGUGACUGUACUGGAUGCUCACUCUCUGGUCAUUAAUGAGUACUGAGAAGUGACAACUUGUCCUUGUCAAGCUUUGCACCCCACAACAAGCAAUGCUGUAGCAAAUGGAACAUAACUUCCAGUAGUGGUAAGAUCAUUAAAGAACAGAAAAGAAUAAAAUAUACCAUUAAACUAUAGCCCGACAGUUUCUCCAAUAUGUAUAGCCAAAUGCAUCCAGGUUUCUGAGACAAGAGCAUGUAUGAAAUAAAA
rnacentral:sRNA from 1 species